UACGGGGGGGCAAGCGUUGUUCGGAAUUACUGGGCGUAAAGGCUCGUAGGCGGCCAACUAAGUCAUACGUGAAAUCCCUCAGCUUAACUGGGGAACUGCGUGUGAUACUGGAUGGCUUGGAUUUGGGAGAGGGAUGCGGAAUUCCAGGUGUAGCGGUGAAAUGCGUAGAUAUCGAGAGGACACCUGCGGCGAAGGCGGGAUAGCUGGGCCGACACUGACGCUGAGGCGACGAAAGCCAGGGAGCGAACGGG
rnacentral:rRNA from 1 species